rnacentral:rRNA from 1 species
UACGUAGGGUGCAAGCGUUAAUCGGAAUUACUGGGCGUAAAGCGUGCGCAGGCGGUGAUGUAAGACAGGUGUGAAAUCCCCGGGCUUAACCUGGGAAUGGCGAUGGUGACUGCAAGGCUAGAGUUUGGCAGAGGGGGGUAGAAUUCCACGUGUAGCAGUGAAAUGCGUAGAUAUGUGGAGGAACACCGAUGGCGAAGGCAGCCCCCUGGGUCAAAACUGACGCUCAUGCACGAAAGCGUGGGGAGCAAACAGG